CUAAGAAUAUUCCGCAAUGGACGAAAGUCUGACGGAGCGACGCCGCGUGGAUGAUGAAGGCCGAAAGGUUGUAAAAUCCUUUUGAACUGGAAGAAUAAGCAGUGCAGGAAAUGGCAUUGUGGUGACGGUACAGUUUGAAUAAGCAACGGCUAAUUACGUGCCAGCAGCCGCGGUAACACGUAAGUUGCGAGCGUUGUUCGGAAUUAUUGGGCGUAAAGGGCAUGUAGGCGGUUAUCUAAGCUUGGUGUGAAAGGCAGGGGCUUAACUCCUGGACUGCAUUGAGAACUGGAUGACUAGAGUUACUGAAGUGGAAUCAGAAUUCCAGGUGUAGGGGUGAAAUCUGUAGAUAUCUGGAAGAAUACCAAUGGCGAAGGCAGGUUUCAGGCAGAUAACUGACGCUGAGGUGCGAAGGUGCGGGGAGCAAACAGG
rnacentral:rRNA from 1 species